rfam:Schistosoma margrebowiei strain Zambia genome assembly, scaffold: SMRZ_contig0000341
GUAGUUUAUUAUUUAAAACAUUUGAUUUAUAACCAAAACGUCAUAGGUUCGAAUCCUCUUACG